UGGAACAGAGAGAGAGGUAGAGUAGAGCUGGGUGAUGAACAGAGAGAAGUAGAGUAGAGCUGGGUGAUGGAACAGAGAGAAGUAGAGUAGAGCUGGGUGAUGGAACAGAGAGAUGUAGAGUAGAGCUGGGUGAUGGAACAGAGAUAUGUAGAGUAGAGCUGGGUGAUGGAACAGAGAGAUGUAGAGUAGAGCUGGGUGAUGGAACAGAGAGAUGUAGAGUAGAGCUGGGUGAUG